rnacentral:rRNA from 1 species
UAUCCUACGGGGCGCAGCAGUGGGGAAUAUUGGACAAUGGGGGAAACCCUGAUGCAGCGACGCCGCGUGUGGGAAGACGGUCCUCUGGAUUGUAAACCACUGUCCCCAGGGACGAAAAUGACGGUACCUGACCAAGAAGCCCCGGCUAACUACGUGCCAGCAGCCGCGGUAAUACGUAGGGGGCAAGCGUUAUCCGGAUUUACUGGGUGUAAAGGGAGCGUAGACGGCCAUGCAAGUCUGAUGUGAAAACCCGGGGCUCAACCCCGGGACUGCAUUGGAAACUGUGCGGCUGGAGUGUCGGAGAG